AGCAGCCGCGGUAAUUCCAGCUCCAAUAGCGUAUAUUAAAGUUGUUGCAGUUAAAAAGCUCGUAGUUGAAUUUUGGGCUUGACCGAUUGGUCCGUUCUUGUGACGAGUACUGGUCGUGUUGGGUCUCACCGCCUGGUGAUGCGUAAUGUCCUUUAUUGGAUGUUGCGAGCAGCCAGGACUUUUACCUUGAAAAAUUAGAGUGUUUAAAGCAGGCAUAUGCCAGAAUACAUUAGCAUGGAAUAAUAGAAUAGGACGAUGAUUCUAUUUUGUUGGUUUCUAGGAGCAUCGUAAUGAUUAAUAGGGAUAGUUGGGGGCAUUAGUAUUCAAUUGUCAGAGGUGAAAUUCUUGGAUUUAUUGAAGACUAACUAUUGCGAAAGCAUUUGCCAAGGAUGUUUUCAUUAAUCAAGAACGAAAGUUAGGGGAUCGAAGACGAUCAGAUACCGCCGUAGUCUUAACCAUAAACUAUGCCGACUAGGGAUCGGGCGAUGUUGUUUCAAUGACUCGCUCGGCACCUUAUGGG
rnacentral:misc_RNA from 1 species